UCAAAUACACCUGAGCAUGCUAAUCAAUGCCAAUCAAUGUCUUUGGGGUCAUUAGAAAAUCACAGGCAGGUGAAUUUGAUCAGGGUUGGAGCUAAACUCUGCAGCGCAUUGGACCUCCAAGGCAAUAUUUGAGGAAGGGGGAUAUAUAGUGUAAUAGUUUAACAUACAUGAUUACUAGUCUUAAUCAACUCACCAUUUUACAUAAACCAUAGGAAACCAUAAAAAGCAUGUUUGGCAGUGUGGAACUGGAAAAUCUAAACCCAAGGAUGGUCACUCAUGUACACAUUAAAGUCAUCUACAACUUAGAGGGACCCUUUCUGGAGUCUUGCACUCAGGGAUCCAUCCUUGGACUUAUAGAGGUUUUUAAAAAACGAGGGUUCUACUGGACCUGCACAGACAAUGACUUGUAUGUUUGAUUUUCUUCUUUUAACAAUAUUUGAAUUGUUGAGCCCAGUAGUGGCUCUUGACCAUAAAUUUAGGUGGGGCAGAUGUUAGAUCAUAGCAAUGGCUUAUGAUUAACCAACUGUAAGUUUUACAUUCUAAUGGCUGAACACGUGCAUUUUUGAUAGAGGUGUAGUAUCCUUGCAAUUUCAGCUUGA